rnacentral:rRNA from 1 species
AGAGUUUGAUCCUGGCUCAGGACGAACGCUGGCGGCACGCUUAACACAUGCAAGUCGAACGAGAGAAGAGGAGCUUGCUUUUCUGAUCUAGUGGCGGACGGGUGAGUAACACGUGAGCAACCUGCCUUUCAGAGGGGGAUACCGAUUGGAAACGAUCGUUAAUACCGCAUAACAUAAUUGAACCGCAUGAUUUGAUUAUCAAAGAUUUAUCGCUGAAAGAUGAGCUCGCGUCUGAUUAGCUAGUUGGUAAGGUAACGGCUUACCAAGGCGACGAUCAGUAGCCGGACUGAGAGGUUGAUCGGCCACAUUGGGACUGAGACACGGCCCAGACUCCUACGGGAGGCAGCAGUGGGGAAUAUUGCACAAUGGAGGAAACUCUGAUGCAGCGAUGCCGCGUGAGGGAAGAAGGUUUUAGGAUUGUAAACCUCUGUCUUCAGGGACGAAAAAAAAGACGGUACCUGAGGAGGAAGCUCCGGCUAACUACGUGCCAGCAGCCGCGGUAAUACGUAGGGAGCGAGCGUUGUCCGGAAUUACUGGGUGUAAAGGGAGCGUAGGCGGGACGGCAAGUCAGAUGUGAAAACUAUGGGCUCAACCCAUAGACUGCAUUUGAAACUGUUGUUCUUGAGUGAGGUAGAGGUAAGCGGAAUUCCUGGUGUAGCGGUGAAAUGCGUAGAGAUCAGGAGGAACAUCGGUGGCGAAGGCGGCUUACUGGGCCUUUACUGACGCUGAGGCUCGAAAGCGUGGGGAGCAAACAGGAUUAGAUACCCUGGUAGUCCACGCCGUAAACGAUGAUUACUAGGUGUGGGGGGACUGACCCCUUCCGUGCCGCAGUUAACACAAUAAGUAAUCCACCUGGGGAGUACGGCCGCAAGGUUGAAACUCAAAGGAAUUGACGGGGGCCCGCACAAGCAGUGGAGUAUGUGGUUUAAUUCGAAGCAACGCGAAGAACCUUACCAGGUCUUGACAUCGAGCGACGAACUUAGAGAUAAGUUCUUCCUUCGGGACGCGAAGACAGGUGGUGCAUGGUUGUCGUCAGCUCGUGUCGUGAGAUGUUGGGUUAAG